rnacentral:rRNA from 1 species
GACGAACGCUGGCGGCGUGCUUAACACAUGCAAGUCGAGCGAGGCCCUCCUUUCGGGGGUGGGUCCGUACCGUACGGGCCGGGAACCGGGGUAACGGGGUAGUAAACGUAAACCGUACGGGGUCGGGAACCCUAACCGUCCCGUCCCCUACGACGUCCUUCGGGUAGGGUAAACUUAACCCUAACCGAAAAAGUUAAAGGUUUGGGUCGUAACUUAAACCGGUAACCGGUAGUUGGUACCGGACCCGUCGUACCGGACCCGACUAGGUUCGGUUCGGUU